rfam:Eubacterium cellulosolvens 6 chromosome, whole genome shotgun sequence.
GGGUGGUUUCCCGAGUGGCCAAAGGGGACAGACUGUAAAUCUGCUGCGAUUGCUUCGGUGGUUCGAAUCCACCACCACCCA